GACUAACGCUGGCGGCGUGCCUAAUACAUGCAAGUCGAACGGUCAUGCAUUUGUAGCAAUAUGAGUGCAUGGUAGUGGCGAACGGGUGAGUAACACGUGGAUAACCUACCUUUAUGUGGGGGAUAACUCCGGGAAACUGGGGCUAAUACCGCAUGACAUCAUUCUGGGGCAUCUCAGGAUGAUCAAAGUCGUAAGACGCAAAAAGAUGGAUCCGCGUCCCAUCAGCUUGUUGGCGGGGUAAUGGCCCACCAAGGCUUUUGACGGGUAGCUGGUCUGAGAGGAUGGUCAGCCACAUUGGGACUGAGACACUGCCCAGACUCCUACGGGUGGCAG
rnacentral:rRNA from 1 species